rnacentral:rRNA from 1 species
GGGGGGGGGGGGGGGGGGGGGUGGGGGGGGGAGGGCGGGGGGGGGGGCGGUGGGGGGGGGGGGGGCGCGGGUGGGGCGCGGGUGUGGAGCGCGUGGGGAACGUGCCCUUGGCUGUGGGGUACGUGGGGGCGGCUGGGGCUGAUGCCUGGUGGGACCUCCUGCGUCAGGGUGGGGGUUGGGAAGUUUCGGCGGGGGGGGAUGGACUCGCGGCGUUGCAGCUUGUUGGUGGGGGCUGGGCUUCGCAAGGCUUUGACGGGUAGCAGGCCUGAGAGGGUGACCGGCCACAUUGGGACUGAGAGACGGCCCAGACUCCGACGGGAGGCAGCAGUGGGGAAUAGUGCACAAUGGGCGGAAGCCUGAUGCAGCAACGCCGCGUGCGGGAUGACGGCCUUCGGGUUGUAAACCGCGUUCGCCUGUGACGAAGCGUGAGUGACGGUAAUGGGUAAAGAAGCACCGGCUAACUACGUG